UUCUUUUGGCUCAUGCGCAAAAGAAGUGACGUACUGAUGGUGCUUCUGGAACAGAGCAGAGCGAAUAUCCAAACUAUCUCCACCGAGGAGCAGAAAGUGGAGACAGUGGGUCAGACGGACUGGAUGAAUCUGUGGAGAAAACAUUUCCAAGAAGAACCCGAGCGUUGGAGAGAAAAUGAGCGCAGGUGAGCUGCUCAAUAUAUGGUGAUAUUGAUUUUAGGCCAUAUCGCCCAGCCCUAACAGAAGUGCUCUGACUGAACAGCAGAGGGGAACGAGUGGACCACCAUCAAACCCUCAGACAACUUGUUCUCUGCAGAUGUUCAGCAGACUGCUGAUUGGAGUUGAUGCUCCUGAGGGAGGAAGGCCCACUAUGGACAUGCAGGACCCAGAGCCCCUCCACAUAAAGGAGGAACAGGAGGAACUCUGGACCACAUUGGAGGCAGAGCAGCUCAGUGUGAAGGAGGGGACUGAUGCUACAGAGUUAUCAUUCAUUGCAGUUACUGUGAAGAGUGAGGAUGAGGAUGAGGAUGAUGAAGAGAAGCCUCUGUUCU